rnacentral:rRNA from 1 species
CCUACGGGCGGCAGCAGUGAGGAAUAUUGGUCAAUGGCCGAGAGGCUGAACCAGCCAAGUCGCGUGAGGGAAGACGGCCCUACGGGUUGUAAACCUCUUUUGUCGGGGAGCAAAGCGACCCACGUGUGGUUCAUUGAGAGUACCCGAAGAAAAAGCAUCGGCUAACUCCGUGCCAGCAGCCGCGGUAAUACGGAGGAUGCGAGCGUUAUCCGGAUUUAUUGGGUUUAAAGGGUGCGCAGGCGGAGGUGCAAGUCAGCGGUCAAAUUGCGGGGCUCAACCCCGUACUGCCGUUGAAACUGCAUCCCUUGAGUGCGCGAGAAGUAUGCGGAAUGCGUGGUGUAGCGGUGAAAUGCAUAGAUAUCACGCAGAACUCCGAUUGCGAAGGCAGCAUACCGGCGCCCAACUGACGCUGAAGCACGAAAGCGUGGGUAUCGAACAGGAUUAGAUACCCGGGUAGUC